rnacentral:rRNA from 1 species
GACGAACGCUGGCGGCGUGCCUAAUACAUGCAAGUCGAACGAACAGACGCCUUGCUUUCUCCUCUGACUUUAGCGGCGGACAGGUGAGUAAUACGUCGAUAGCCUCCCUCUCAGUCUUGCUUAAUUUCGGGAAACCGGUGCUGCUACCAGAUAAUAUUCUGAAUCUCUUGGUUCAUCAGUGUAAGACGGUCUUUCUGUCGCUUGUAGAUGGAUUCGCGCCGUAUUAGCUAGUUGGUGAGGUAACGGCUUACCAAGGCAACGAUGCGUAGCCGACCUGAGAGGGGGGUCGGCGGCACUGGAGCGGAGACGAGGUCGAGAAGCCUACGGGAGGAGGCAGUAGGGGGGAUUACGGAAUAAGGGAAAGCAGGACGGAGCAACGACGCGGGAGGGAAGAAGGUCGUCGGAGCGUAAAGAACUGUUAUUGGGGAAGAAGAAAUGUGGAAGUGACUGUGCACGUCUUGACGGUACCUGGUCAGAAAGCCACGGCUAACUACGUG